rnacentral:misc_RNA from 1 species
GAUGAAGAACGUAGCGAAAUGCGAUAAGUAGUGUGAAUUGCAGAAUUCAGUGAAUCAUCGAAUCUUUGAACGCACAUUGCGCCCUCUGGUAUUCCGGGGGGCAUGCCUGUUCGAGCGUCAUUAUAACCACUCAAGCUCUCGCUUGGUAUUGGGGCUCGCGGUUCCGCGGCCCCUAAAAUCAGAGGCGGUGCCUGUCGGCUCUACGCGUAGUAAUACUCCUCGCGAUUGAGUCCGGUAGGUCUACUUGCCAGCAACCCCCAAUUUUUACAGGUUGACCUCGGAUCAGGUAGGGAUACCCGCUGAACUUAAGCAUACAAUAAGCGGGGA